GGGUUGUGAGGUUAAGCGACUAAGCGUACACGGUGGAUGCCCUGGCAGUCAGAGGCGAUGAAGGACGUGCUAAUCUGCGAAAAGCGCCGGCGAGGUGAUAUGAACCUUUGACCCGGCGAUGUCCGAAUGGGGAAACCCAGUGUGAUUCGUCACACUAUCGUUAACUGAAUACAUAGGUUAACGAGGCGAACCGGGGGAACUGAAACAUCUAAGUACCCCGAGGAAAAGAAAUCAACCGAGAUUCCCCCAGUAGCGGCGAGCGAACGGGGAGCAGCCCAGAGUCUGAAUCAGCUUGUGUGUUAGUGGAAGCGUCUGGAAAGUCGCACGGUACAGGGUGAUAGUCCCGUACACGAAAAUGCACAGGCUGUGAACUCGAAGAGUAGGGCGGGACACGUGGUAUCCUGUCUGAAUAUGGGGGGACCAUCCUCCAAGGCUAAAUACUCCUGACUGACCGAUAGUGAACCAGUACCGUGAGGGAAAGGCGAAAAGAACCCCGGCGAGGGGAGUGAAAAAGAACCUGAAACCGUGUACGUACAAGCAGUGGGAGCACCUUCGUGGUGUGACUGCGUACCUUUUGUAUAAUGGGUCAGCGACUUAUAUUCUGUAGCAAGGUUAACCGUAUAGGGGAGCCGAAGGGAAACCGAGUCUUAACUGGGCGUUAAGUUGCAGGGUAUAGACCCGAAACCCGGUGAUCUAGCCAUGGGCAGGUUGAAGGUUGGGUAACACUAACUGGAGGACCGAACCGACUAAUGUUGAAAAAUUAGCGGAUGACUUGUGGCUGGGGGUGAAAGGCCAAUCAAACCGGGAGAUAGCUGGUUCUCCCCGAAAGCUAUUUAGGUAGCGCCUCGUGAACUCAUCUUCGGGGGUAGAGCACUGUUUCGGCUAGGGGGCCAUCCCGGCUUACCAACCCGAUGCAAACUACGAAUACCGAAGAAUGUUAUCACGGGAGACACACGGCGGGUGCUAACGUCCGUCGUGAAGAGGGAAACAACCCAGACCGCCAGCUAAGGUCCCAAAGUCAUGGUUAAGUGGGAAACGAUGUGGGAAGGCACAGACAGCCAGGAUGUUGGCUUAGAAGCAGCCAUCAUUUAAAGAAAGCGUAAUAGCUCACUGGUCGAGUCGGCCUGCGCGGAAGAUGUAACGGGGCUAAACCAUGCACCGAAGCUGCGGCAGCGACACUAUGUGUUGUUGGGUAGGGGAGCGUUCUGUAAGCCGUUGAAGGUGGCCUGUGAGGGUUGCUGGAGGUAUCAGAAGUGCGAAUGCUGACAUAAGUAACGAUAAAGCGGGUGAAAAGCCCGCUCGCCGGAAGACCAAGGGUUCCUGUCCAACGUUAAUCGGGGCAGGGUGAGUCGACCCCUAAGGCGAGGCCGAAAGGCGUAGUCGAUGGGAAACAGGUUAAUAUUCCUGUACUUGGUGUUACUGCGAAGGGGGGACGGAGAAGGCUAUGUUAGCCGGGCGACGGUUGUCCCGGUUUAAGCAUGUAGGCGGAGGUUCCAGGUAAAUCCGGUACCUUUUAACGCUGAGGUGUGAUGACGAGGCACUACGGUGCUGAAGUAACAAAUGCCCUGCUUCCAGGAAAAGCCUCUAAGCAUCAGGUAACAUCAAAUCGUACCCCAAACCGACACAGGUGGUCAGGUAGAGAAUACCAAGGCGCUUGAGAGAACUCGGGUGAAGGAACUAGGCAAAAUGGUGCCGUAACUUCGGGAGAAGGCACGCUGAUAUGUAGGUGAAGCCCCUGCGGGUGGAGCUGAAAUCAGUCGAAGAUACCAGCUGGCUGCAACUGUUUAUUAAAAACACAGCACUGUGCAAACACGAAAGUGGACGUAUACGGUGUGACGCCUGCCCGGUGCCGGAAGGUUAAUUGAUGGGGUUAGCGGUAACGCGAAGCUCUUGAUCGAAGCCCCGGUAAACGGCGGCCGUAACUAUAACGGUCCUAAGGUAGCGAAAUUCCUUGUCGGGUAAGUUCCGACCUGCACGAAUGGCGUAAUGAUGGCCAGGCUGUCUCCACCCGAGACUCAGUGAAAUUGAACUCGCUGUGAAGAUGCAGUGUACCCGCGGCAAGACGGAAAGACCCCGUGAACCUUUACUAUAGCUUGACACUGAACACUGGUCCUUGAUGUGUAGGAUAGGUGGGAGGCUUUGAAGCGUGGACGCCAGUCUGCGUGGAGCCGUCCUUGAAAUACCACCCUUUAAUGGCUGGUGUUCUAACGUAGACCCGUGAUCCGGGUUGCGGACAGUGUCUGGUGGGUAGUUUGACUGGGGCGGUCUCCUCCCAAAGAGUAACGGAGGAGCACGAAGGUUAGCUAAUCCUGGUCGGACAUCAGGAGGUUAGUGCAAUGGCAUAAGCUAGCUUGACUGCGAGAGUGACGGCUCGAGCAGGUGCGAAAGCAGGUCAUAGUGAUCCGGUGGUUCUGAAUGGAAGGGCCAUCGCUCAACGGAUAAAAGGUACUCCGGGGAUAACAGGCUGAUACCGCCCAAGAGUUCAUAUCGACGGCGGUGUUUGGCACCUCGAUGUCGGCUCAUCACAUCCUGGGGCUGAAGUAGGUCCCAAGGGUAUGGCUGUUCGCCAUUUAAAGUGGUACGCGAGCUGGGUUUAGAACGUCGUGAGACAGUUCGGUCCCUAUCUGCCGUGGGCGCUGGAGAAUUGAGGGGGGCUGCUCCUAGUACGAGAGGACCGGAGUGGACGCAUCACUGGUGUUCGGGUUGUCAUGCCAAUGGCACUGCCCGGUAGCUAAAUGCGGAAAAGAUAAGUGCUGAAAGCAUCUAAGCACGAAACUUGCCCCGAGAUGAGUUCUCCCUGAGACUUUAAGUCUCCUGAAGGAACGUUGAAGACGACGACGUUGAUAGGUCGGGUGUGUAAGCGCAGCGAUGCGUUGAGCUAACCGAUACUAAUGAACCGUGAGGCUUAACCUUACAACGCCGAAGGUGUUU
rnacentral:rRNA from 1 species